AUGAAGAGAGAGAUAAGAUAUGUGAUGGAUUUUCGAAAUAUUAAGUACAGAUAGGAUACCGCUUGCUUGAUAAAUUCUCGAAAGAUUUAGAACAGAUUAUCCUAAAUACUCGAAAGAUUUAGGACAAUUAAUCCUAAAUUCUCGAAAGAUUUAGUACAGAUAAUCCUAAAUUCUCGAAAUAUUUAGUACAGAUAAUCCUAAAAGAUAAAAACUAAAUUUAAGUGUUCUGGUUUGUGUUGGCCAUUGCACUGGUUGCCGAUGCAGCCGCGGAGACGACAGAGGGCAGAUGCUCGCUGCCGCCAGACGCUGGACCGUGCAAUGACAACAUCUUUAGAUUCUUCCAUGACAAACGAACUGGCGACUGUCGCAAAUUCAUGUUCGGUGGCUGCCAGGGAAAUUCCAACAACUUUGCAACAAGGGAAGAGUGCAAGGGAGCCUGUGCCGCGUAGGCCAGAGGGAAGCUGACUGCGCAGGGUCUGGUUCUGCAUUGUAAAUUCCAGGGGCGGUUAUGCUUAUGUAAGACGUUCGGUACAAAGACUGAAACUUUUUUUUGGUGUUUUGUCUAUCGGUUGCGUUUGAUUCAGCAAGAAAUUAUGGACCAGAAAAAAUCUAAAAAAAAAAUUGGAAUGCAUAUCA